UUGGGUUACAUUGUAAACUUUAUAGAGAUUUCGUAUGUGAUCAGAAACGAUGCAUUCAUUUCCCAGAGUGGUCGCACUGUGUUAUUGUAGUUGACGUAAUCGUGUACAAUGGCAUGACGUAAUAUAUGAGCCUAUGACGUAAACGCACUCAAGAGAAGGUUCAGUGCCUACUUCUGGCUCAGUUGAGUUGAUGAUUUACAAAGGAGAGUCAUCCUCAUGUUCAAAUAAAUCACUUUGAGUGGACAAAGAUGACAUUCUGUGAGUACAGCAAAACGGGCAAAGAUUUUGUAAAAAAAAAAUUUGAAAUGUAUUUUAAAAUGUAUUUGUUUAUAAAAAAUGUCAGGUCCAAUCUGAAGGGUGCCUGAAAGCACAAUGGAUAGAAAUCAUAAACGGUUGAGAAUAAUUCUUCAAAAAGUAAGUCUCAUAAGUGAUUAAAAAAAUGUUUUUGUUAAUUCUGGGGCUUUCUCUCUUGAUAUGUAAUGGGGCUAUCUUCUUGGUAGUAUAGCCUAUAUGCUGUAAAAACAGAUUGACAUGAUUUAUAGUUGGAAAAGUGGGCAUAAUAAUGGAGGGCUUAAGUUAAAUGUAUUUCCUUAUGAUCCUGUACCCCAGGCUGGGACCCUCCAAGCUAGCGCUGGAGAGCAGGUGCUCCAGACAGACGUCAUUUCCGCUGGCCAUGAUGGAGUAAGGCUGCCAGCCCUGGGAGACUGCCCCAAGGACAGCCCUCUAAAGGUAAGAAACAGCUUUUAGUUCUGAUGCAAAACGUCUGGUUGUAACGGAGACCAGUUGGUUGUAAUCUAGUAAUAUGAUGUGUUGAAAACCAGUUUACAAUGAGAUAAUAACACCAUUAAGACACAUGGACCACCUACUAGUUAGAACUAAUAGUAUUGGAAUUCUGAUUUUAGUUCUGAUUGUAAUUCUAAGGUUAUGAUUUAUAAUUGGAGAAGCGGGCAUAAUAAUGGAGGGCUUAAGUUAAAUGUAUUUCCUUAUGAUCUGUACCCCAGGCUGGGACCCUCCAAGCUAGCGCUGGAGAGCAGGUGCUCCAGACAGACGUCAUUUCCGCUGGCCAUGAUGGAGUAAGGCUGCCAGCCCUGGGAGACUGCCCCAAGGACAGCCCUCUAAAGGUGUCCUGCCAGCUAUCAAGAAGGGCACUAAAGUUACUCAAAUGGAGACAACAGAAACCCCAGGUCCCCUGACACCUAAUGAUGGGGAGAUAAUGAUCUCCUCUCCAUCUGUUGAUGACCUCCUGACCCCAAAGAGUGAUGUGACGUCCGAGGCUAA